AGCUUUCAAAUGGACAAGGUAGAGGUAACAAUAAGAAUUACAAAGGAGGAAAAAAAUUACCAUUAAGUGUUUGUCUCUGCUUUCUUUUUAUUGGCCUGUAGAACACAUUUGGAAUAUUGGGUUCACUGGGGGUCGCAGAGGUGGGUUCACUGAUCACAGAGUUGGAGUCAUUGGGGGUCGCAGAGGCGGGUUCCCUGGACACAGAGUUGGAGUCAUUGGGGGUCGCAGAGGCGGGUUCCCUGGACACAGAGUUGGAGUCAUUGGGGGUUGCAGAGGCGGGUUCCCUGGACACAGAGGUGGAGUCAUUGGGGGUCGCAGAGGCGGGUUCACUGGACACAGAGGUGGAGUCAUUGGGGGUCGCAGAGGCGGGUUCCCUGGACACAGAGGUGGAGUCAUUGGGGGUCGCAGAGGCGGGUUCACUGGUGGCAGAGGUGGAGUUGCUCCCUGUGGAGGAUUAGGGAAAAGAACAGUCUUUAGUCAACAUGUUUAGUCUACAUGUAUGUAUGUAUGCAUGCAUGUAUGUAUGUAUGUAUGCGUGUCUAUAGACACACAGAGUGGCUGAACCAGCUAAUUAAGAUCUUCAGGAGUACUU
ensembl:lncRNA